AGAAAUCGUGAGGGUUCAAGUCCCUCUAUCCCCAAAAAGACCUGGUUGCC
rnacentral:tRNA from 1 species